ACAAAGGACGACAUUAGACGAAUCAUCUGGAAAGAUGAAUCAAAGAAGGUAAUAAUCCUGUAGUCGAAAAUGUUGUCUCUCUUGAGUGGAUCCUGAGUACGACGGAGCACGUGAAAUUCCGUCGGAAUCUGGGAGGACCAUCUCCUAAGGCUAAAUACUCUCUAGUGACCGAUAGUGAACCAGUACCGUGAGGGAAAGGUGAAAAGCACCCCGGAAGGGGAGUGAAAUAGAACCUGAAACCGUGUGCUUACAAGUAGUCAGAGCCCGUUAAUGGGUGAUGGCGUGCCUUUUGUAGAAUGAACCGGCGAGUUACGAUUUGAUGCAAGGUUAAGCAGUAAAUGUGGAGCCGUAGCGAAAGCGAGUCUGAAUAGGGCGUUUAGUAUUUGGUCGUAGACCCGAAACCAGGUGAUCUACCCUUGGUCAGGUUGAAGUUCAGGUAACACUGAAUGGAGGACCGAACCGACUUACGUUGAAAAGUGAGCGGAUGAACUGAGGGUAGCGGAGAAAUUCCAAUCGAACCUGGAGAUAGCUGGUUCUCUCCGAAAUAGCUUUAGGGCUAGCCUCAAGUGAUGAUUAUUGGAGGUAGAGCACUGUUUGGACGAGGGGCCCCUCUCGGGUUACCGAAUUCAGACAAACUCCGAAUGCCAAUUAAUUUAACUUGGGAGUCAGAACAUGGGUGAUAAGGUCCGUGUUCGAAAGGGAAACAGCCCAGACCACCAGCUAAGGUCCCAAAAUAUAUGUUAAGUGGAAAAGGAUGUGGCGUUGCCCAGACAACUAGGAUGUUGGCUUAGAAGCAGCCAUCAUUUAAAGAGUGCGUAAUAGCUCACUAGUCGAGUGACACUGCGCCGAAAAUGUACCGGGGCUAAACAUAUUACCGAAGCUGUGGAUUGUCCUUUGGACAAUGGUAGGAGAGCGUUCUAAGGGCGUUGAAGCAUGAUCGUAAGGACAUGUGGAGCGCUUAGAAGUGAGAAUGCCGGUGUGAGUAGCGAAAGACGGGUGAGAAUCCCGUCCACCGAUUGACUAAGGUUUCCAGAGGAAGGCUCGUCCGCUCUGGGUUAGUCGGGUCCUAAGCUGAGGCCGACAGGCGUAGGCGAUGGAUAACAGGUUGAUAUUCCUGUACCACCUAUAAUCGUUUUAAUCGAUGGGGGGACGCAGUAGGAUAGGCGAAGCGUGCGAUUGGAUUGCACGUCUAAGCAGUAAGGCUGAGUAUUAGGCAAAUCCGGUACUCGUUAAGGCUGAGCUGUGAUGGGGAGAAGACAUUGAGUCUUCGAGUCGUUGAUUUCACACUGCCGAGAAAAGCCUCUAGAUAGAAAAUAGGUGCCCGUACCGCAAACCGACACAGGUAGUCAAGAUGAGAAUUCUAAGGUGAGCGAGCGAACUCUCGUUAAGGAACUCGGCAAAAUGACCCCGUAACUUCGGGAGAAGGGGUGCUCUUUAGGGUUAACGCCCAGAAGAGCCGCAGUGAAUAGGCCCAAGCGACUGUUUAUCAAAAACACAGGUCUCUGCUAAACCGUAAGGUGAUGUAUAGGGGCUGACGCCUGCCCGGUGCUGGAAGGUUAAGAGGAGUGGUUAGCUUCUGCGAAGCUACGAAUCGAAGCCCCAGUAAACGGCGGCCGUAACUAUAACGGUCCUAAGGUAGCGAAAUUCCUUGUCGGGUAAGUUCCGACCCGCACGAAAGGCGUAACGAUUUGGGCACUGUCUCAACGAGAGACUCGGUGAAAUCAUAGUACCUGUGAAGAUGCAGGUUACCCGCGACAGGACGGAAAGACCCCGUGGAGCUUUACUGUAGCCUGAUAUUGAAAUUCGGCACAGCUUGUACAGGAUAGGUAGGAGCCUUUGAAACGUGAGCGCUAGCUUACGUGGAGGCGCUGGUGGGAUACUACCCUAGCUGUGUUGGCUUUCUAACCCGCACCACUUAUCGUGGUGGGAGACAGUGUCAGGCGGGCAGUUUGACUGGGGCGGUCGCCUCCUAAAAGGUAACGGAGGCGCUCAAAGGUUCCCUCAGAAUGGUUGGAAAUCAUUCAUAGAGUGUAAAGGCAUAAGGGAGCUUGACUGCGAGACCUACAAGUCGAGCAGGGUCGAAAGACGGACUUAGUGAUCCGGUGGUUCCGCAUGGAAGGGCCAUCGCUCAACGGAUAAAAGCUACCCCGGGGAUAACAGGCUUAUCUCCCCCAAGAGUUCACAUCGACGGGGAGGUUUGGCACCUCGAUGUCGGCUCAUCGCAUCCUGGGGCUGUAGUCGGUCCCAAGGGUUGGGCUGUUCGCCCAUUAAAGCGGUACGCGAGCUGGGUUCAGAACGUCGUGAGACAGUUCGGUCCCUAUCCGUCGUGGGCGUAGGAAAUUUGAGAGGAGCUGUCCUUAGUACGAGAGGACCGGGAUGGACAUACCUCUGGUGUACCAGUUGUCGUGCCAACGGCAUAGCUGGGUAGCUAUGUGUGGACGGGAUAAGUGCUGAAAGCAUCUAAGCAUGAAGCCCCCCUCAAGAUGAGAUUUCCCAACUUCGGUUAUAAGAUCCCUCAAAGAUGAUGAGGUUAAUAGGUUCGAGGUGGAAGCAUGGUGACAUGUGGAGCUGACGAAUACUAAUCGAUCGAAGACU
rnacentral:rRNA from 1 species